UACUACAUACUCUAAAGUAAUUAGACAGUAUGCUCUGCAUCAAUUUUAUUCCACCGCACGUAGUGCACAAAGCUUUUCUCAUUAGGUUAAUUGCCUGCAAGUUCUACUAGAAUCUCUGAGUUCCAUGCUAGUUGUGGCCUCACUAAAAAGAGUAGAUUCAAAAUCUUUAAGGUUUUAGUCCAAAUCUUAAAUGCUUCCCAAAAUGGGAUGGUGCCUUCACCUAUCCAGCCACC
rnacentral:lncRNA from 1 species